UACCUUGUGGUCCAGUGGUUAAGACUCUACACUUCCAAUGCAGGGGGCCUGGGUUCAAUCCCUGGUAGGGGAA
rnacentral:tRNA from 1 species